rnacentral:rRNA from 1 species
GCAAGUCGAACGGUAACAUUGGAGCUUGCUCCAGAUGACGAGUGGCGGACGGGUGAGUAACGCGUGGGAAUCUACCUAGUAGUUGGGGAUAGCCCGGAGAAAUCCGGAUUAAUACCGAAUAAGUUCUACGGAAGAAAAGGUGCCUCUACUUGUAAGCACUUGCUAUUAGAUGAGCCCGCGUUAGAUUAGUUUGUUGGUGGGGUAACGGCCUACCAAGACUGCGAUCUAUAGCUGGUUUGAGAGGAUGAAC